rnacentral:rRNA from 1 species
GACGAACCGUGCAAACGUUAUUCGGAAUCACUGGGCAUAAAGGGCGCGUAGGCGGCUUUCUAAGUCAGGGGUGAAGUCCGGCAGCUCAACUGUCGCAGUGCCUUUGAUACUGGAGAGCUUGAGGGAGGUAGGGGUCUGUGGAACUUCCGGUGGAGCGGUGAAAUGCGUUGAUAUCGGAAGGAACGCCGGUGGCGAAAGCGCCGGACUGGACCUUUUCUGACGCUGAGGCGCGAAAGCCAGGUGAGCAAACGGG